CCUAGCAGACCGAGUUCUGCCGAGGGCCCUCUUCCUGGUUGGCAGAUCUACUCACUGUAUCUGCACAUGGGACACAGCUGACAGAGGAAGCAAGCGCUCUGCCACUUCAUCAGGACUAAUUCCAUUCAUGAAGGCUUGCAACAAUUUGGAUAAAGGUCCAGGCCACCUCCCCUCCCUUCACUCUCCUCUACCUAAUCCAUCUCACUCCAGUCAGAAUGGCAAUUACCAAGAAUACAAGCAACAAUAAAUGUUGGUGAGGAUGUGGGGACACAUUGCUGGUGGGACUGCAAACUGGCUCAACCAUUA
rnacentral:lncRNA from 1 species